GUGGGGAAUAUUGCACAAUGGGCGCAAGCCUGAUGCAGCCAUGCCGCGUGUGUGAAGAAGGCCUUCGGGUUGUAAAGCACUUUCAGUCGUGAGGAAGGUGGUGUAGUUAAUAGCUGUAUUAUUUGACGUUAGCGACAGAAGAAGCACCGGCUAACUCCGUGCCAGCAGCCGCGGUAAUACGGAGGGUGCGAGCGUUAAUCGGAAUUACUGGGCGUAAAGCGCAUGCAGGUGGUUUGUUAAGUCAGAUGUGAAAGCCCGGGGCUCAACCUCGGAAUAGCAUUUGAAACUGGCAGACUAGAGUACUGUAGAGGGGGGUAGAAUUUCAGGUGUAGCGGUGAAAUGCGUAGAGAUCUGAAGGAAUACCGGUGGCGAAGGCGGGCCCCCUGGACAGAUACUGACACUCAGAUGCGAAAGCGUGGGGAGCAAACAGGAUUAGAUACCCUGGUAGUCCACGCCGUAAACGAUGUCUACUUGGAGGUUGUGGCCUUGAGCCGUGGCUUUCGGAGCUAACGCGUUAAGUAGACCGCCUGGGGAGUACGGUCGCAAGAUUAAAACUCAAAUGAAUUGACGGGGGCCCGCACAAGCGGUGGAGCAUGUGGUUUAAUUCGAUGCAACGCGAAGAACCUUACCUACUCUUGACAUCCAGAGAACUUUCCAGAGAUGGAUUGGUGCCUUCGGGAACUCUGAGACAGGUGCUGCAUGGCUGUCGUCAGCUCGUGUUGUGAAAUGUUGGGUUAAGUCCCGCAACGAGCGCAACCCUUAUCCUUGUUUGCCAGCAAGUUCGGGCGGGAACUCCAGGGAGACUGCCGGUGAUAAACCGGAGGAAGGUGGGGACGACGUCAAGUCAUCAUGGCCCUUACGAGUAGGGCUACACACGUGCUACAAUGGCGCAUACAGAGGGCGGCCAACUUGCGAGAGUGAGCGAAUCCCAAAAAGUGCGUCGUAGUCCGGAUCGGAGUCUGCAACUCGACUCCAUGAAGUCGGAAUCGCUAGUAAUCGUGGAUCAGAAUGCCACGGUGAAUAC
rnacentral:rRNA from 1 species